UACGUAGGGUGCGAGCGUUAAUCGGAAUUACUGGGCGUAAAGCGUGCGCAGGCGGUCUGUUAAGACAGAUGUGAAAUCCCCGGGCUUAACCUGGGAACUGCAUUUGUGACUGGCAGGCUAGAGUAUGGCAGAGGGGGGUAGAAUUCCACGUGUAGCAGUGAAAUGCGUAGAGAUGUGGAGGAAUACCGAUGGCGAAGGCAGCCCCCUGGGAUGAGACUGACGCUCAUGUACGAAAGCGUGGGGAGCAAACAGG
rnacentral:rRNA from 1 species